UACGUAGGGUGCAAGCGUUGUCCGGAAUUAUUGGGCGUAAAGAGCUCGUAGGCGGUUUGUCGCGUCUGCUGUGAAAACUCGGGGCUCAACUCCGAGCUUGCAGUGGGUACGGGCAGACUAGAGUGCGGUAGGGGAGACUGGAAUUCCUGGUGUAGCGGUGGAAUGCGCAGAUAUCAGGAGGAACACCGGUGGCGAAGGCGGGACUCUGGGCCGAUACUGACGCUGAGGAGCGAAAGCGUGGGGAGCAAACAGG
rnacentral:rRNA from 1 species